rnacentral:rRNA from 1 species
GGCUCAACCCCGGAGCUGCAUUUGAAACUAUUCAGCUAGAGGUUAGUAAGGGAAAACGGAAUUCCACGUGUAGCGGUGAAAUGCGUAGAUAUGUGGAAGAACACCGGUGGUGAAGACGGUUUUCUGUGCUAAACCUGACGCUGAGGCGCGAAAGCUAGGGGAGCAAACAGGAUUAGAUACCCUGGUAGUCCUAGCCGUAAACGAUGCAUACUAGAAGUAGGAGGGCUCAACCCUUUCUGUUUCGGAGCUAACGCGUUAAGUAUGCCACCUGGGGAGUACGCUCGCAAGGGUGAAACUCAAAAGAAUUGACGGGGGCCCGCACAAGCAGUGGAGCAUGUGGUUUAAUUCGAUGCAACGCGAAGAACCUUACC